AUACUAGCUAUUGAAGUGACACUAAUAGAAGCCAUAAAAUUAUAGUCUAGUGUAAGAUAAUUAAAUAAUGCUUACAUAUUAAGCUAAAUGAAAAAAUAAUAUUAUAACUAAUUACACAUGCCCCUUGUUAUUGUUGCAAUAUUAAACAAAAUUAUCAGAGAAAUUAUUUAUAUAAUAUAUAUAUACACACAUAUAUAGGUCUCCGAUUGACAUUUCCAAAAGUUGGAAAAUAGUGUCUAUAUAGAUGGACCACACUUGAUAUAAAUUAAAAUAACAACAAUAAAGAGAGAGGGCUUAAAAUGGUUUGACUUUAUUCUGGUCUUUGUUUUUGUUCUAUAUGUACAUAUGGUCUUAUUAAUCGUCUCUACUCUAUUAUAUAAAUAGGAGAGUUUGAAGGGUUCUUUAUUCAAAUGGCAGAAACUUCUUAGCACAAGUAUGAAUUUGGGGAAGAAGAAAGUCCAUUGUGGGAGGCUAUACUAUUGUGGGCUAAAAACAAUGACUGGCUACAAUAUAUACAAGUAAAGGAAAAGCUAAGGCUAAGCACCAGUGACUCCAGAGCUCAAGGGUGAUUGUACACAUUAGGAUUGUUAGACUUGGAGAGUUUGGUCUCGAGACGACUUAGACCUUAUUUUGUAAUCGUUGUGCGACAUGUUUGUAAAGUGUAAUUUGAAUAUAAAUUUUAGUAACGAGAUCCCGAAUUUUUGUAUGGAUGUUUAUAUUUAUAAAGUUUAAAGUUUUAUUUAAAA